GUCUUUUUGGAGUAUAAUUUAAAGUCUAACCUGCCCAAUGAAUUAUUCAAUGGCCGCAGUAUUUUAACUGUGCGAAGGUAGCAUAAUAAUUAGUUUUUUAAUUGAAAACUGGUAUGAAUGGUUGGACGAGGAAAAAGCUGUCUCAAUUUAAAUUUAAUUAGAAUUUUAUUUUUAAGUUAAAAAGCUUAAAUAAAUUUAAAAGACGAGAAGACCCUAUAGAGUUUAAUAUAAUAUUAUUGUUUUAUAUAUAAAGAAUUUAAUUUAUUUGACUUAUAUAUUGUAUUUAAUUGGGGUGAUUUAAAAAUUAAAAAAACUUAUUAUUAAUUAAACCAUUAAUAUAUGAGUAUUUGAUCCAUAUUUUAUGAUUAAAAGAUUAAAUUACCUUAGGGAUAACAGCGUAAUUUUUUUUUAAAGUUCUUAUUGAAAAAAAAGUUUGCGACCUCGAUGUUGAUUUAAAA
rnacentral:rRNA from 1 species